UACGUAGGGUGCGAGCGUUGUCCGGAAUUAUUGGGCGUAAAGAGCUCGUAGGCGGCCUGUCGCGUCGGUUGUGAAAGCCCGGGGCUUAACCCCGGGUCUGCAGUCGAUACGGGCAGGCUAGAGUUCGGUAGGGGAGAUCGGAAUUCCUGGUGUAGCGGUGAAAUGCGCAGAUAUUAGGAGGAACACCGGUGGCGAAGGCGGGUCUCUGGGCCGAUACUGACGCUGAGGAGCGAAAGCGUGGGGAGCGAACAGG
rnacentral:rRNA from 1 species